GUGUCAGCAGCCGCGGUAAGACGAACCGUGCUAACGUUGUUCGGAAUCACUGGGCUUAAAGGGCGCGUAGGCGGUUUGCCAAGUCAAGGGUGAAAUCUUUCGGCCCAACCGGAAAAGGGCCUUUGAUACUGGCAGACUAGAGCGAGGUAGGGGCAGAUGGAACUUCCGGUGGAGCGGUGAAAUGUGUUGAUAUCGGAAGGAACGCCGGUGGCGAAAGCGAUCUGCUGGACCUCUUCUGACGCUGAGGCGCGAAAGCCAGGGGAGCAAACGGGAUUAGAAACCCGCGUAGUCC
rnacentral:rRNA from 1 species